CUACGGGGGGCAGCAGUGGGGAAUAUUGGGCAAUGGGCGCAAGCCUGACCCAGCAACGCCGCGUGAGGGAAGAAGGUUUUCGGAUUGUAAACCUCUGUCCUUGGGGACGAAGAAGUGACGGUACCCAAGGAGGAAGCUCCGGCUAACUACGUGCCAGCAGCCGCGGUAAUACGUAGGGAGCAAGCGUUGUCCGGAAUUACUGGGCGUAAAGGGUGCGUAGGCGGCAUAUUAAGUCAGGUGUGAAAUACUCGGGCUCAACCCGGGGGCUGCAUUUGGAACUGAUAUGCUUGAGUGUGAGAGAUGAAAGUGGAAUUCCUAGUGUAGCGGUGGAAUGCGUAGAUAUUAGGAGGAACACCAGUGGCGAAGGCGACUUUCUGGCUCAUAACUGACGCUGAGGCACGAAAGCGUGGGGAGCAAACAGGAUUAGAUACCCCGGUAGUC
rnacentral:rRNA from 1 species